rnacentral:rRNA from 1 species
AUGACCCUUGUCAAAGCGGUGCUCACGGCUGUGGCAAUCUACCAUCUUACACCGCUUGACCUUCCGAUGGAGGUGCUUAGGAAGAUUGACUCCUUGCGGCGUGCCUAUCUUUGGGCUGGUUCGGACAAGGUGUCCGGUGGCAAGUGUAAAAUCAACUGGGAGCUAGUCUGCAAGCCUAAGGAGUUUGGGGGCCUCAGAAUUCUUAACCUUGGGAAGUUCGCUACUGCGUUGCGCUUAAGAUGGUUGUGGCUUGAAUGGGAUGACCCUCCGAGAGCUUGGUUUGGCUUGGGAACUCCGUGCAACAACAAAGAUCGGGACAUCUUCGCGGCAGCCACUAAGGUUACUAUUGGUGAUGGCGCCACCGCGAGAUUCUGGGAGUCAUCUUGGCUGGAGGGGAUGAGGCCCAAAGCCAUUGCACCAAAAAAAUUCGAGAUCUCGUGA